rnacentral:rRNA from 1 species
CCUGCUCAGGACGAACGCUGGCGGCGUGCCUAAUACAUGCAAGUCGAGCGGACUUGAUGGAGUGCUUGCACUCCUGAGAGUUAGCGGCGGACGGGUGAGUAACACGUAGGCAACCUGCCCUCAAGACUGGGAUAACUACCGGAAACGGUAGCUAAUACCGGAUAAUUUAUUUCGCAGCAUUGUGGAAUAAUGAAAGACGGAGCAAUCUGUCACUUGGGGAUGGGCCUGCGGCGCAUUAGCUAGUUGGUGGGGUAAUGGCUCACCAAGGCGACGAUGCGUAGCCGACCUGAGAGGGUGAACGGCCACACUGGGACUGAGACACGGCCCAGACUCCUACGGGAGGCAGCAGUAGGGAAUCUUCCGCAAUGGGCGAAAGCCUGACGGAGCAACGCCGCGUGAGUGAUGAAGGUUUUCGGAUCGUAAAGCUCUGUUGCCAAGGAAGAA